GUUGGAUAGAGCCCCAAAUAUUUGGGAAUGCAGGGAUGAGAGGGAAGAAGAAGGCUUUCCUAUUUGCUGUUUACCUAUCAGUCUGGGGACAAAUUGGUGAUUUCAGGCUCAUGCCUCUAUAUCACAAUGCGUUAGUGUCCACCAUUAAUGUGGUGCUUGGCAGAGAGGUUCAGGGCUGAACACACAAGGGCCAGAGCUGCUUUUCCACAUCAGCUCUCUCAAGCCUGGA
rnacentral:lncRNA from 1 species